rnacentral:tRNA from 1 species
UAUUCCUGCUCGGCCACUACCCGAGACCUCGGCUCGAAAAGCCGCUGUUGUCUUCAACUACAGGAAC